rnacentral:tRNA from 1 species
GGUCCCAUGGUAUAAGGGGCAGCACCCAUGACUUUGAAUUCUGCAAUCUGAGUUCAAACUUCAGUGGGUCCU